UCAGAGGAGGAGUGGUCACUAUGCCGUGAUGCAUUGCGAUUAUUCCUCUUAAUUAUAUAUUAUUGAUUUUCCACGAGCGGGCGGUUAUUGUUCACUUGACCUUCACUAUCCAAACAACAGGAGUGAGAAAUAUGGCGGAUUUUGUAAAGCCGAUUCACCGCCAUAAAGCUUCAGUUUUGGAAGGACACGGUCUUAUUUUUGUUCAUUGUGUAUCGUCAGAGCCUAUGCUGUUGGUUCCUAUGGGUUAUCGUGUGUUCAGUUUCAAUGCCGUGAGAUUCACAUCAGAAGAAUCGCUAUAUUUGUCUCUAAAAGUUGAUGAAAUCUUCGCCGAUUGCAAUAGCCCAGCAUUGAUAGAGUAUAGAGAUACAUUCCAGUUGUGUUUUUAGGGUAAGUCGUUUGUUUUAAUCCUUAAAGCCAAUACAAAGCCAAUGUAUCUACGCAAUGCUUUUUCUAUGAUUCACAUUUUUGUAACCAAUAUUGGUAACAAUAUUUGUGCUUUCUAUUUUGAAUAUAGAUAGAUAGAUAUUUAUUAAUAUAUGAAUAUGAAUAUAUGCAUAUAGAGCUAAAAAAUAGUUUAAGUUAGAGAAGCCAAGACUGUUCAUUUGGUUUGAUCAUAGAGGUUUGAUUACUUUGGUAUUUUAUACGUACUAUUAAAGUAAUUAACCCAUUGAAUUGCAUCGACUUGCAUUAAUUGUGCCCUGAUGCACCCUACUUUAUUAUUUUACUCUAACGCCAGAUUAUUUUACUCUGUCUAAUGGCAGCUGGCAUAUCUGCCCAUGUGCCUAGUUAACCCAUUGAGUCACAUUGUGCCCUCAUGCACCCUACUUUAAUAUUUUACUCUGUCUAACGCUGGCACUUAAGGGUUAAACAGAAGAUUGUUUUUAUAUAUUGCAGUUCUCUGACCUCAGUGAUCUAAGACGAGAUGGAACAGGACAAUCUUUUAUCUUUGGGAAUGUUAUUUUGUGGGAUUUCGAUAUUCUGCCAUUGCCACCUUCUCAAACAAUUCAACCUCGAGGUCCAGAUACUGUUAAUGAAGAUUUGGACAGUGUGCUGACACUAAUAAAUUUACAAGGGCAAACUGGAUAUAACUGUGAUCUACAACCAAUAAAUUCUGUGUGCUUGGUGGGUACUAUUACUCUACAGUGCAGCAUUGCUUAUUGCGAAAAGUGGACCAUGGGACAGAGAUGAUCCAAGAAACAAUUAUAACAGUGACAUAGAUUACUAGAAUAUUGUAAAUUGAUGUUUGUGAUGUUAUUCUGAGUGUGCAUCCACACCGGGCAAGCUGAAAAGUUUGCCUGACCAUGGUGGGAAUCGAACCUGCCAUCUUUGGGAUAUUAGUCCAAUGCUCUACCAACUGAGCUCAGCUCGGUGUGGAUGCAUUCUCAGAGUAACAUCACAAACAUAUUCACCUGAGUAAAUAACACCAACACACACAAGAAGUAUAUUGUAAAUUGUUGUUAUUUUAUUAUGGAUUCCUACAUAUUUAUUUUAUUAUGGAUCCCUACAAUUGGGUCAUUCCAGAAAACAUCCAUACUGCCCCCACAGAGGAAAUAGGAAGUUAACCCCACUACCCCCUUCGGAUGUCCUAAUACAUUUACUAUUAUCAGAAACAAUUUUUUCUCCCCUCCCCCUCCGGACGGCAGAAAUUUCCUCUGUGGGGGGAGUAUGGAUCUUUUCUGGAACGACCCAUUAUAACAGUGACAUAGAUUACUAGGCUAAUGCGGUAAAUUGUUGUUAUUUUAUUUUGUUAUGGACAAAAUUUCUCCAGAUCCAUGGAUCUUUUUUGGCAAUAGAUAUCAACUUGAUCAAAGCUUUAUUUUCCUCAAAGGUCCAUUUAUGUUUUUUUCACUGGUGACUUCUUAGGAAACUACAAAAAAAUAUGUCAUUUACUAAAAUGGAAAUUGGGGCGCAGAUGACAUAUGAAUAAUCAUACAUGAAUAAUGUUACACUGCAGAAUGUUACACAGAGGUAUUAAAGUAGAGUAAUACAGACAACAAAAUUGCUGCAAUUUGCAACAAAAUCUGAUUUCAACGGAUGUUAAGUGGAGAUGUUGAC